AUUCUACUCCCUGCCUUGCACAAUACAUGCCUUCUAUUUGUCAAAAUAGAUAUGUAUCUAGACAUGUUUUAGUAUAUAGGUACAUCCAUUUUUGGACAAAUGGAAGUCAAGUAUUUUGGAACGGAGGGAGUACACA
rfam:Triticum aestivum genome assembly, contig: Triticum_aestivum_CS42_TGACv1_scaffold_362381_4DS